rnacentral:rRNA from 2 species
UUACUGGGCGUAAGCGCGCGUAGGUGGUUAAUUAAGUCAAAUGUGAAAUCCCCGAGCUUAACUUGGGAAUUGCAUUCGAUACUGGUUAGCUAGAGUAUGGGAGAGGAUGGUAGAAUUCCAGGUGUAGCGGUGAAAUGCGUAGAGAUCUGGAGGAAUACCGAUGGCGAAGGCAGCCAUCUGGCCUAAUACUGACACUGAGGUGCGAAAGCAUGGGGAGCAAACAGGAUUAGAUACCCUGGUAGUCCAUGCCGUAAACGAUGUCUACUAGCCGUUGGGGGAUUUGAUCCUUUAGUGGCGCAGCUAACGCGAUAAGUAGACCGCCUGGGGAGUACGGUCGCAAGACUAAAACUCAAAUGAAUUGACGGGGGCCCGCACAAGCGGUGGAGCAUGUGGUUUAAUUCGAUGCAACGCGAAGAACCUUACCUGGCCUUGACAUAGUAGAAACUUUCCAGAGAUGGAUUGGUGCCUUCGGGAAUCUACAUACAGGUGCUGCAUGGCUGUCGUCAGCUCGUGUCGUGAGAUGUUGGGUUAAGUCCCGCAACGAGCGCAACCCUUUUCCUUACUUGCCAGCAUUUCGGAUGGGAACUUUAAGGAUACUGCCAGUGACAAACUGGAGGAAGGCGGGGACGACGUCAAGUCAUCAUGGCCCUUACGGCCAGGGCUACACACGUGCUACAAUGGUCGGUACAAAGGGUUGCUACACAGCGAUGUGAUGCUAAUCUCAAAAAGCCGAUCGUAGUCCGGAUCGCAGUCUGCAACUCGACUGCGUGAAGUCGGAAUCGCUAGUAAUCGCGGAUCAGAAUGCCGCGGUGAAUACGUUCCCGGGCCUUGUACACACCGCCCGUCACACCAUGGGAGUUUGUUGCACCAGAAGUAGGUAGUCUAACCUUUAGGGAGGACGCUUACCACGGUGUGGCCGAUGACU